rnacentral:rRNA from 1 species
AUGGAUCCCGACGCCAAGGAGGGCGGGCCACUCGAAGAAGCUGGCGGCGCCGGUGCCGAGAGUGGUCCCCGCGACGGCGGCGCUGAAUGCGGCGUCGCCUCUCCCUUCCGCUGGCUGCGGCGGCUCUCCCGCGAGCUGCACUGGAGCUUCGUGCUCGCCGUCUUCGCCGUCUACGGGGCCUGCCAGGGCGUGGGCAACGCCGUCGGGGUGGUCGCCGCCUCGUACUACAGCAAGGACGUGCUGCGCCUCCAGCCGUCAGCGGCGCAGUUCUACCAGGGCAUCGUCGACUCGCCGUGGGUCGUCAAGCCCAUCUGGGGCCUGCUCACCGACGUCGUGCCCGUCGCCGGGUACCGCCGCCGCCCCUACUUCCUUCUCGCAGGUGAAAAGAUUGGGGAUCUCUUCUUGAUUCCACCACACACACACACAGACACACACACACACACACACACACACACACACAGGCAGACUCAACAUCAUUUUCAGGGUUGGCAUCCUGAUGCUCUGUGUUCUGAGGUUAAUGCAGGCGUGAUUGGCGCCACAUCUAUGCUUAUGAUUUCCCUGCAAAGCAAUCUGGGGCUCAUACCGGCGGUUCUAGCCCUCACGGCGCAGAGCGCAGGCGCGGCGAUAGCCGACGUGACGCUGGACGCCCUGGUUGCGCAGAACAGCAUAACACACCCGCCCCUCGCCGCCGACAUGCAGAGCCUGUGUGGGUUCUGCUCCUCAUUUGGGUCAUUGAUUGGGUACUCCAUCAGCGGCCUUCUUGUCCACUCCAUGGGAGCCCAGGGGGCUCUUGGCUUGUUGAGCAUCCCCUCAGCACUGGUGUUCUCAGCUGGGAUUCUGCUGAAGGAGAGCCGAGUGACAAACUUCAGUUACAAGCAGGUUCAUAAGAAGUUCUACAAAGCAAUUCAGUCAAUGGGGACAACACUGAAGUGCCCUGAAGUCUGGCGGCCGUGUUUGUACAUAUAUGUUUCGCUCAAUCUAAGCCUGGACAUCCAAGGAGGAAUGUUCUACUGGUACACAGAUCGACUAACUGGACCAGGGUUUUCUGAGGAAUUUAUUGGUGUAAUCUAUGCAGUCGGUGCAGUGGGUUCACUACUCGGGGUUGUGCUAUACCAAAGUGCUCUGAAGGACUACAAUUUCCGCAGCAUGCUUUUAUGGGGUCAGGUGCUGUCAAGCCUGACAGGGAUGCUUGAUCUAGCGCUAGUGACCCGACUAAACACGAAGGUCGGCAUACCAGACUACGUUUUCGCGGUGAUCGACUGCGGCGUUUCUGUAAUGGUCGGCAAGCUUCAGUGGAUGCCGGUUCUCGUGCUUUGCUCCAAGCUUUGCCCUCCGGGCAUCGAAGGAACCUUCUAUGCACUGCUCAUGUCAAUACAAAAUGUGGGGCUGCUUAUGUCUGCCUGGUGGGGUGGCCUGCUGCUGCACACGCUGAAUGUGACUCGAUCGGAGUUCAGUAACCUUUGGGCGGUUGUGUUGAUCAGAAACGUCUCGAGGCUGCUUCCGCUGAUGCUGCUGUUUCUUGUCCCUCAAAGCGACCAGAACUCGACGCUCCUUCCUGCGGAGAUGCUUCACGAUGACGAACCUACAGAAGCUGUCAAGGAUGGAUCGGGCAGCGCUCAGUUUUCCGUCGUUGUUGCGGAUGAUUCAAGUUGUCAUCCUUCCAUUGAGGAUGUUCAAGAUGAGAGAAUCAAAGUGACUGAUGAUGUAGGAGAUGAUGUAGAGCUGAUGCCACUGAUGAACAAGACUAGAACAGUUGGGUGA